CUAAUGUAAUAAUGUAAACUUGAGAGAAUGAAAAUUUCAGAACACUCCUGUUACAAUUUUCAAUGUAACAAUUUUAUUGAUAUCAGUAAUUAUCACCUUCACUUGUUUUUUUUAAAUAACCACAAACAUAUAUGACAUCAUAAACAGAGGUGCCAAGAGGUCAGGGUUUCUUCUAUUAUUUGGUAGGAAGAAAUACACUGAAGAGGAUAAAAUGAGUGGAGCUAAGAAUUCACUGAACAUUUGGGGGAUCCUGUAGGGAGCAAGCCACUCUUUCAUUGCCACAUAUGUAUAUAUGUGUAUAUAUAAAGUCUAUAUUAUACUUCUUUAUAU